GCUGGAGUACUUGUGCUCUGAAAGUGUCUCUGAAAGUUGUCAGCUGUUGGCUCAACAGCAAAGCAUGUGUCUUGUGUUCCUGUGACCAGAAGGCUCAACAAUGCAUCAUUCUAACUGACCAGAUGGAUUGUUUCAUCUUUUCUGCUCAUCGGAGGGGUUUUCAGAUUGUCUGUCUGGCCAGAGGAGGACCACUACACUGGCAAUGACUGGGGUUUGCCUUAGGGCCCACCAACCAUAACCAACCGCCCAAACCAACCAGCUGUCAACCGCUGCGUUGCCGCUGGCUUGUGGAUCUAAAGUUUUGUCAUGAUAGCUUGUUUUUGUUUCGUACACAACCCUAUAGAUGAUCGCUUAUUCCAAGGAAGACACACACAAAUAAAUACAAACUACUUUAAGGGACACAAAGGUAUGGAAGGACUCCAGCCACUGAUAUUGGACAUAUGGUGUAAUUUUUUUCUGUAUCUAUCUAAUGCAAAGCUAUACUUGCAACAAUUUCUUAUGUCAUGUGAAAUGAUAAGAUGAAAACCUCACUCAUAUGCAUUAGCUCUUGCAUAAAAUCUUUGCAAUAAUGGA